rnacentral:lncRNA from 1 species
ACCUCCAUAUGCCACGGGAGCGGCCCUAGCAAAAAGAAAAAGACUAGAAAAAAAAAAAACCACAAUGGGAUACUACUCAGCCAUAAAAAGAUCCAUUUGAAGCAGCAUGGAUGGAAUUACAGACUCUCAUACAAAGUGAAGUAAGUCAGAAAGAGAAAGACAAACACAAUGGGAUAUCACUAUAUCACUUCUAUCUGGAAUCUAAAACACAGCACAAAUGAACCUAUCUACAGAAAAGAAACAAACUCAUAGACAUGAGGAACAGACUUAUGGUUGCUAAGAGGGAGGGGGAAGGACUAGGAGUUUGAGAUUGGUAGAUGCAAACUAUUGCAUUUGGAGUGAAUAAGCAAUGAAGUCCUGCGGUAUAGCACAGGGAACUCUAUCUAGUCACUUGUGAUGGAACAUAAUGGAGGAUAAUGUGAAAAAAACAAUGUAUAUACAUGUAUAACUGGGUCACUCUGCUGUACAGCAGAAAUUGACAAACAUUGUAAAUCAAUUAUUAAAAAAAAAAAGAGAGAGAGACAAGGAGAGUCUUAAAAGCAGCAAGAGAAAAGAAACUUGCUACAUACAAGCCUCCCUCCCCCUGUCCCACCCCCGCUCCCAUAGGACUGACUAGCAGACUUUUUAGCAGAGUUUGCAGCCAGGAGAGGCACCCUAUGGUCAAAGUACUGAAAGAAAAUACUUCCACCAAGAAUACUUCACCUGGCCAAGUUAUCAUUCAGAGGUGACGGGGAGGUAAGAAUUUGGGGACAAUCGAAAGCUAAAGGAGUUCAUCACUACUGAGCCAGCCUGACAAGAAACAGUCAAGGGACUUCUUGAAGCCAAAGAAAAAGCAGACUAAUUAGUGAUGAGAACACAGGUGAAAGAAUAAACCUCCCGGGAAAAGUAAAUAUAUAGUAAAGUAUUACCGAGUCCAGGCUUAGUUGAGAGAGUUGUGGGGACAAGGACUAUCGACGUUGUCCAGAAAGCAGGGAAACCGAGAAGAUGACGGGCUUGUUUCCCAAAGAACCACUUUCCCCAAGUUAGGAGUCAGGCUCCUUUUCUACUCAGGGGGACAGGAGUAAAGCAUUUCCAGAUUCCCUGCAGCCUCUGGAGGGAUGCGUUCACGGCUUCCACCUGCAGCUAUUCUCAGGCGGAGCUGGUCAGGGGGGUUCCUGGGAUCUAAAAGAGGCUAUUUUAGCUUCAUGCACAUUACCUGGGGAGCAGAUGCCCAGAGAUGGGUCAUUAUGUACCAAUUAAGCUUACAGACAGCCUCCCUUUCGUGAUUAACUUAGAAGAUGGAGUUUCUUCCCUCUUGCAAAGGCAGUGGAUUAAUCACUGAAUCCACGUGGGGAGGGCCCUCAGGACAGUUUUCUGUGUGUUCUCUGGAGUUGAGGGUGCCUGCAAGGAUGACAACCAUAUCCCACAACUCAGGGUGGCACCAAGCCCGCAUUCCAUGGGUGGGGCUGGAGAAGGAGGACUCAGAAGUUUCGGCAGCUCCAUGGAAGGAACGUGGAGGUUACAGAUGGGCAGGAGGACGGGGCUGCCAGCUGACGCCAGAACAGCAGGUGGGGGGAGCCCUGGCCAUGCUGCCCGGCAAGGGCUGCUCACCAGGACCCAGAGGGGACAGGAAAGCUGAAACGGCCCCCAGAGGUGAUCUCAUACACCUGUACCAGUGGUCUCAGACUUACUUUUACUCUUAAAUGUUCCUCAUUCUUCAUUAAAUUAUAAUAGUUGCAAAGAAUGCAAUUUUCAACAUUUUAUAAAUAUUGGCUUUUGAAAUAAACUGCUAUACCACUCUCUUCAACAUAUCCAAUAAAAUUGAAAUACAUCAUGAUUUAAUACCUCCUUUUUUAUCCAUUACUAAAGCACAUGGACAAUCUCUCAAUUAAUAUGCAGAAACUCAAUGUCUUUUCCUGUUAUCUUCAACUUUCCACCCCAUCUUCUUCACAGAAUUUUAUCAUUAUGUAAUACACUUUAUGCUUGAAAGCCUUUCUUUUACUAGUAUCUCUACCAUGAUUCUCUGCCAAAAAAAAAAAAAAAAAAAAAAAAAGCCCUGUGUAAACUACAUUUGUUUGAUUUCAUCUAGGUGUUAAAAAGUUCUGAGUUGUGUUGUCACAAUGUUAGCACACAAUUGUUUGCAGUAGAACAUAUUGUGUGUACAUUUUGUAUUAAAUGGAAAUGGUAAUAUUUUAUUAGAAAUGCAUCUAAGUGGAGUUCCCGUCGUGGCUCAGUGGUUAACGAAUCUGACUAGGAACCAUGAGGUUGCGGGUUCAGUCCCUGGCCUGGCACAGUGGGUUAAGCACAGCCUGGUGUUGCCGAAGCUGCAGCCUACCUAGGUCGAAGUGGAGGCUUGGAUUCAAUCCCUGGCCCGGGAACUUCCAUAUGCAAUGGGUGUGGACAUUAAAAAAAAAAAAAGAAAAGAAAAGAAAGAAAUCCAGGGCUCCGGUUGUAGUGCAGUGGAAACGAAUCCGACUAGGAUCCAUGAGGUUGCAGGAUCGAUCCCUGGCCUUGCUCAGUGGGUUAAGGAUCCGGUGUUGCCAUGAGCUGUGGUGUAGAUUGCAGACACGGCUCAGAUCCCACAUUGCUAUGGCUGUGGUAUAGGCCAGCAGCUGCAGCUCCAAUUCGACCCCUAGUCAGGGAACCUCCAUAUGCUGAAGGUGCGACCCUAAAAACCAAAAAAAAAAAAAAAAAAAAAAAAAAGAAAAAAUCCAGUUUGCAGCCUCUGGUCAUGAUGUCAUGUGACUAUCUCAUAAGCCAGGUGGAUUUGCAUAAACAAAGCUGGGUUUUACCCACUUGAGUCCUCCUCAAGGCUGCAUGUUGCUCCCCAACUAAGAGAUGAAUUACAGCAGCCAGAUUUUUCUGACAUUUGUCACCAAAAAUAGAUUUGGCAUUUGUAGACUUCCAUUUCAAAAUCAAGAAGAAUCUCUACAAGUAGAUGUAACAACAACAACAAACAAAAUAGCAAACAGUUGUAAACAAAAUUCCCUCUCAGCCAUCAUGUGACAUUCCAGCACGCAAGGAUCCUUGUUUCUGAUAAUGUUAUAUUUUUGGAUGAUGAGAGAACCACCAAACAUUUGCCUUAAAAAAAAUUGGAUUUGGAGUUUCCUUUGUUAAAGAACCCAGCUAGGAACUACAAGGUUGCAGGUUCAAUCCCUGGCCUUGCUCAGUGGGUUAAGGAUCCGGUGUUGCUGUGGCUGUGGUGCAGGGCGGCAGCUACAGCUCCAAUUCGACCCCUAGCCUGGGAAUCUCCAUAUGCCAAGACUAAAAGAAAAAAAAAAUUAGGUUCAGACCGAUGUUUACCACUGUUCGGUGGAGGGAGGGGUGGUCUGCCAACUCACGGUGUCUUUGCCAUUUCUGUUUUUAAGCCCACAGACUGUCUCACAAGUCAUUUGGUCUGGAUCUGGUUUCCUGCCUCUGCAGAGACCAUGUCUGCUUCCUGCACUGGCUGCCCCAGAGCACGCUUGGUUUGACCCCUUAUCUUCCUAGGCCUCAGGCUGCUGCAUAUUUCUAGCAGGUUCCGGCUCUCAGUUCCAGAAAUCCACUUCCCAGGGGCUGCAGCCGCACCCUAUAUAGGUCCCUAUAGACUGACCCACUGCCCAACUGCCCACACCAUACACACCCACACACCAUAGAAGCUGUGUAACACUCACGUGUACAUUGUACGAACUAUAUGACACAUAUCCACACACUAUAAAUCUGCAUAACACAUACCACGUACACACUAUACCUACACAUAUACCAUGUAAAUUAUACAUACACAUCCAUUCACUGCAAAAACCAUGUAACACACACCAUAUACACACAUACAUACACUCUAUAUACACAUACCAUAUAAACUACACACACAUGUCCACAUGCUAUAUAACCUACAACACAAACCACAUACACACAUACACACACACUCUAUAUACCCACACACCAUACAAACUACACACACAUCCACACACUAUACAAACCAUAUAACACACAUAUCCACACAUUAUAUUAACUGCAUAACACACAUAUUCACACGUUAUAUUAACUGUGUAACAUACACAUCCACACACUAUACAAACUGUAUAACACACUAUAGAAACCCUAUAACACACACAUCCGCAUCCUAUAUAAACUGUAUAACACGCACCAUAUGCACACCCAUAUACACACACAUACCAUAUAAACUAUACACACACCCACACACUAUACAAACUGUAUAACACACGCAUCCACACUCUAUAUAAACUAUAUAACACACACCACACACACACACACACAUAUACAUACACACACACCAUAUAGGGUACAUGCACAUCCACAGACUAUAUAAACUUUAUAACGCACACAUACACCCUAUAUGCACGUAUGCACACUAUGUAAAACUAAGACCCAUUUGCAGAACACACUUAGGGGUACAGUUCCAGUGCCAAGACACACAGGACAAAACGCCUCUCAGAAACAAUCAGGAGCCGGCUACACCGCCUACGGAGCUGUUUACCCUAACCAGAGGGAGAGCAGAGGACAGGGGAGUGGGGAGAAAACCAGGUCUGGUCUGGGGGCGAGAAUCUCCCCUCGCAGCCCCUCCAGACAGAGGAGGUGUUUGCAGAGAGGAGCCCAAUGAUUCACUGGCUUUGCGCUCCAGCCAGUGACUCACUGUUUACCGGUGUCAAGGAGUAGACACUCUCGAUUUUCUAUAAUAAGCCUCAUCUGCAUCCCACGGUGAUGGCCCAGUCGGCCGCCGGUCACACAUGCAGAGCAGGGGCAAAGCCUUCUGGGAUCUCCUGCCAUCUCAACGCUGGCCCAGGGGACUUUUCUGAAAAGAAGGCUAUUUUUCCUAGCCUGUGGGGCCGGGACUUUCUGUGUGAUGAUGAGCAAGUUUCUAAACCUCUCUGAGCCUAGGGUCUCUGUUUGUAAAAGCUGUUUCUGGAGUUCCUGUCGUGGCGCAGUGGUUAACGAAUCCGACUAGGAACCAUGAGGUCGAGGGUUCGGUCCCUGCCCUUGCUCAGUGGGUUAACGAUCCGGCGUUGCCGUGAGCUGUGGUGUAGGUCGCAGACGCGGCUCGGAUCCCGCGUUGCUGUGGCUCUGGCAUAGGCCGGUGGCUACAGCUCCGAUUCAACCCCUAGCCUGGGAACCUCCAUAUGCCGCGGAAGCGGCCCAAGAGAUAGCAACAACAACAACAACAAAAAACAAAAAGACAAAAAAAAAAAAAAAAAAAAAAAAAA